ACGAACGCUGGCGGCGUGCUUAACACAUGCAAGUCGAACGGUAAGGCUCCAGCUUGCUGGGGUACACGAGUGGCGAACGGGUGAGUAACACGUGGGUGACCUGCCCUGCACUUCGGGAUAAGCCUGGGAAACUGGGUCUAAUACCGGAUAGGACCGCACCGUGAGGGUGUGGUGGAAAGUUUUUUCGGUGUGGGAUGGGCCCGCGGCCUAUCAGCUUGUUGGUGGGGUAAUGGCCUACCAAGGCGGCGACGGGGAGCCGGCCUGAGAGGGUGGACGGCCACAUUGGGACUGAGACACGGCCCAGACUCCUACGGGAGGCAGCAGUGGGGAAUAUUGCACAAUGGGCGGAAGCCUGAUGCAGCGACGCCGCGUGGGGGAUGACGGCCUUCGGGUUGUAAACUCCUUUCACCAUCGACGAAGGGUUUCUGACGGUAGAUGGAGAAGAAGCACCGGCUAACUACGUG
rnacentral:rRNA from 1 species